UUCCUUUUAUGGUGUGACCCUUUAGGUUCUCCAUAUUAAACCGGUUGUGAAUAAAUCAAUUAGAACAAUUCUAAUCUUAUUUAAAUAAAUAAAUUAAAAUAUUAAUUUAUUUAAAUAGAUAAUAUUUAUCUACAAUAAGGAUAAGUCUCCCUAGCGAUUAACGACUUUCCAGAUAAUAUAAAUUUCAACAUUAAUCAUAAAAGAACCUUUGAGUAAAUAGUUACUGUACAAUUCAAUCCUUCCACCAUACAAUGUCCCAAUUAAAU
rnacentral:lncRNA from 1 species